GUUAAGUAUGAUGCGAGUUGUUUUAUUCUCAUGUUCGUUCAAAAAACUACUUUAUGUAUGCCCUACACUGGCUUGUUUCGUUUUUAUUGCGCAUGUGCUAACUUUCACGUUUAUCAACAAAGCAUCAUUAUACAGAGUAUUUGCAGAGAGGCUUAUUACCAAACAUCAUGGCAGAACCUGGCAAGACGGUAUGUUCUUUCAUUUUCGUGGGCAAUUUUCAUGUUGGAUAUGUUCAUAUAUCAGUAUAUACAGUUUUUCAUGUAAACGACAGAAUUACCUUGCACAGAAUGUUGAGACAGAACCAGCACCUAAAGUCACUAGACCCAAAAAUCUUUUCCAUCUGACGUUGACACAGGCGGAGGUUUUGGCCUGGAUUUCAUUUUGUCUGUUUUGCUGGCUUAUCGGUGCCUAUGCUAUAAUAUGUGUAAAUAAGGCCAAGAUUGCUGAGGAUGACGAAGAAUACGAGAAAACUUUAGUUUGUGCCACAUGGCUAGGCAUUGUAGCUCUGGCUUUUGAUCUUGUGUUUAUUAUAGGAUUGGUUAUACUCAUUACGAUGUAUUUUUUAAGAGAGUUAUCUUUCUGUGGAUAAAUCGCUUACUGGCGGACACUGUGUGGGUAGCAAUGUUUCCUAUGAAAGAAUUAUGAACAUUUCACUUUUACAGACUUUGGAUUAGUUGACUACCUGUUAAAGGCAAUGACCUUCAAAUUGCAAGACGACAAAAGAAAAGAGAAAAGUGUAGAUAUCAGGAAAUUAUUGCUGUAUUUGAAGGUUUUGAACCUUAUUUAUUGACGGAUAGAAUCACUUGCGAACCAGCUGUAUUCUAUCAAAACUGGACAGUGCCUGAAACGGAUUACCGGAGGUAAACUGCGUAAACAUUUUUAGCGUUAUAGUGAACUGUCGUCAAGUACGAAUUUCUACGUGGUGCACUGGACAAAAAGGAAGAAAAUUUUUUAUUGCCAAGGCAGUCCGGUUUCGACUUCCUACUCGGACAUGUUUUUUUUUUUGUAGAUUUCACAAUUUUUAAGAUCGAUUAGAAACAAAAACUCAUGUUAAUGUACUUUACAACUGACAUUAUUCAUAUUGUGUUGUAACAGUUAUAUAUAUAUCUGUUAUGCUACUCAGUUCCUCUCUGAAAAGUACGACGUUUCUUCUGAAUGUUUGUCGAUUGGAGAGGCUUUAUAUUUUCGUUUCCGCUUUUUAAAAGAACAUACAUUUUAUCCUGUAAUUUAGUUGUGGUGUUGUCCACUUCAGACUUGAAGCUGGCUGUUACGAGAACCUCCCCAUGUCAAAUUUGCACAAAAUCUGUUAAAAAUGAGGUGCAUGUAACACUAUAUUUUCAUUGUUAUGCUUUUGAAAAUGUAAGACUGAAAUUUAUAGCGAAAGCUCUUUAGAUUAAACCUGAUUUAAGUCCAUUCACAAAUUACGACAAAAUGUUUUUAUUUUCUCCAACGAUGAUAUUGUUAACUUAUUAACUUAAAAGUUACUGCAAAAAACUGUUACAGAUUGCUGCAAUAAAGGUAAAACAUUUUGUAUCAGUAGGUAAUUUAGAAUUUUAUCCUUUUUAUUAUUGUUUAGCGAUAGGUUUACUUAGUACUCAGUAGCCACUGAAAGUUUCUUUCAUUUGUACUGAUAUAAUAGUAAUAGAUGGAGGAAUAAGUUUUAAAGUAACUUAUGUUAGUUCUUAAUGAAUUUGAUUUGAUAAGAGAACUGGCAGUAUGUUCACACAAAAAUUUCAGUCUCACCUGAGUUUGAUAAACUGUCAGUCGUAUCUAAACUGCAUGUUAAAAAUAAAAUGUUUAGGUUGUAUUUUCAAGAGACAAUUCAUAUUAUUUAACUGAAAGGUAAUCUUGAAGUUCUAGUAAAAUUUCCUGUCAAAUUUCAGUCUGAUUUUUCUCUUACCAGUCGUUUAGUCAGUCCAAAUGUUAAUUUUGUUUCUUAUUUAAAUGUGUAGCUAACAUUUUACCCAAUCGAAGUUAGCAUUAGUUUCUGACUAUGUAAUGUGUAGAGUAGAUAUGAUGUUGAAUUUUAUGGACAUUUGUCUCAAUAUAUAUCUGAGUUGUGACAUAAACACCAUCUUAAUGUUUUACUUAUUGUCACUUACAAUUCAUUGAAUUAAGAAUUUUAUAUACAAUGUAUGUAUGCAUGUUACUAUUUGUACUGUGACCAGCCUCAAAUAAAUGAAUAGCCAUGUAAUAUAAGUAGUUGAUGUGAUUAUAUAGGCCAAUUGAUUGUCAACAAAAUCAAAUUAUCGAGAUUUCACUGUAGUAUGGAUGUGUAAUCAAAAUAGAUUACAAUCAAUUAAUCAUUGUAACAAGCAAUUGUAUUGCACACGUGCCUAUAUUAAUGUCGACAUACUUAACACGCUCAUAAACAAGGAAGUUCCAUUAUUUCGUAUAUAAUAUUAUACUUUCGCAAAUAUUAUUAUAAUUGUGCAAGUGCUUGAUAACCAGACGCCAUCAUGUCAGAGCCAACCACUGUGGUUGUAACACAGCCGGCCCCCAGAUCCGUGAGACCCACUCAACGUCCUCAUCUUACUUUGAAACAGGCGGAGGUGUUGGCUUGGAUUUCAUGCUGCUUAUUUUGCUGGCCAAUCGGAAUCUAUGCUAUAAUAUAUGUAAACAAGACCAAGAUUGCUGAUGACAACGAAGCGUUUGAGAGAAAUUGAGUCUGUACCACGUGUUAUGAACAGCAUAAUGAAGAAGAACAUAAUGAUAGACAUGAUGUGAAAUAUGAUGAUGAGUAUGAUGAUAAAUAUGACGAUGAACAUGAUGAGAAACAUUAUGAUGAAUAUGAUUGGAUAUGAUGAUAAAUAUGGUGAUGAAAAUGAAGAUAAGUAAUGCACCAUGACGGAAAGCACUGUGUUACCACUGAAGUUUAUGAGUAAAACAAAAUAAUCUUCUUUCCGCCAGCAUUGGCUUUCUUAGCAUAAAGGUUGUUCAAAAACACGCCAUUUGAAAAUUUUGUCCGAGUACAGAAGAUUUAAGCGACGAAGACACGGGUUUCAAAUGAAUCAGACGUGUAAUUGAUUGGCUUUUACUGCACAGAUUACUUUUGUCUUUCUUCUGUAC
rnacentral:misc_RNA from 1 species